GAUACCAGGGCAGAAAGGGCUUGAGACUGCUUCGUGCUUGCACGAAAGCAGUGGAAAGACUUUGAUGCCCGCGCGAAUCGUACGAAUGCAGUCCGACAGGACGGAAUUCGUAUGAUUCGCAGAAUUGCGAGAGUGCGAAGCACGCAGCAAUUCGCUGGUAU
rnacentral:sRNA from 1 species